UAAGCAUAUCAAUAAGCGGAGGAAAAGAAACCAACAGGGAUUGCCUCAGUAACGGCGAGUGAAGCGGCAACAGCUCAAAUUUGAAAUCUGGCCCUUUCAGGGUCCGAGUUGUAAUUUGGAGAAGAUGCUUCGGGUGUGGCCCCGGUCUAAGUUCCUUGGAACAGGACGUCAUAGAGGGUGAGAAUCCCGUAUGUGACCGGUGGCCUCGCCCAUGUGAAGCUCUUUCGACGAGUCGAGUUGUUUGGGAAUGCAGCUCAAAAUGGGUGGUAAAUUUCAUCUAAAGCUAAAUAUUGGCCAGAGACCGAUAGCGCACAAGUAGAGUGAUCGAAAGAUGAAAAGCACUUUGGAAAGAGAGUUAAACAGUACGUGAAAUUGUUGAAAGGGAAGCGCUUGCAACCAGACUUGCGCGCGGCCGAUCAUCCGGUGUUCUCACCGGUGCACUCGGUCGCGCUCAGGCCAGCAUCGGUUUGGGUGGCUGGAUAAAGGCCUCGGGAAUGUGGCUCCCCUCGGGGAGUGUUAUAGCCCGAGGUGCAAUGCAGCCUACCCGGACCGAGGACCGCGCUUCGGCUAGGAUGC
rnacentral:rRNA from 1 species